AUGCUUAAAGAGGGGAAUUACGCCUUCACGAUUAUGCGGGCAGAGGAUGGUGGCCUUGGUUUACUCUUCCAGGCAGACGGCCAUAGCAUUCAAUUAUGGAAGAGGAAGAUUGAUCGUGAUGGUGUUGCUUCAUGGGGGCUUGGAAGAACUAUUGACCUGAACAAGCUACGUUCCCUGGAUUCACAGGGCCUUACAAUACUAGGGCUCGCUGAGGAAAAUAAUGCGGUGUUCUUGUGGACAAGCGGUGUCCUUUUCAUGGUCAAUCUUGAGUCAUUGCAGUUCAAGAAACUUUGGGAAACCAACUUCCUUAGUACUUAUCAUCCAUUGGAAGGUGUCUACACAGCAGAAAGAGGCAUUGGUGAUGAACAUGAUGCAGCUGAUCUUUUGCACCUUACAUAA
rnacentral:rRNA from 1 species